rnacentral:tRNA from 1 species
UCCUGGGUAGCUCAAUGGCAGAGCAUCCGGCUGUUAACCGGAGGGUUGGUGGUUCGAGUCCACCCCCAGGAGCCA